rnacentral:rRNA from 1 species
GACGAACGCUGGCGGCGCGCUUAACACAUGCAAGUCGAACGGAAAGGCCUGCUUUCCCUUGUGGAUUGCGGGUACUCGAGUGGCGAACGGGUGAGUAACACGUGAGUGAUCUGCCCCCAACUUGGGUAUAAGCCUGGGAAACUGGGUCUAAUUCCCGAUAGGACUGCAGGGUGGUGCCUGUGGUGGAAAACGAUUUUCUAGUGGUUGGGGAUGAGCUCGCGGCCUAUCAGCUUGUUGGUGGGGUAAUGGCCUACCAAGGCGGCGACGGGUAGCCGGCCUGGGAGGGUGGACGGCCACAGUGGGACUGAGAUACGGCCCAGACUCCUACGGCAGGCAGCAGUGGGGAAUAUUGCACAAUGGGCGGAAGCCUGAUGCAGCGACGCCGCGUGGGGGAUGACGGCCUUCGGGUUGUAAACUCCUUUCGACCGCGAGGAAGCCACCUGGUUGGAAGGGUGGUGACGGUAGUGGUAGAAGAAGCACCGGCUAACUACGUG